CGGUUUACCAGUUGUGCCGCCAGGCGCACCGCUGGGUAUCUGAGUCUGGAUUGGAUAAGCGCUGAAAGCAUCUAAGUGCGAAGCCAGCCGCAAGAUGAGAACUCCAUUGAGGGUCGUCAGAGACGAUGACGUUGAUAGGAUGCAGGUGUAAAGACAGUGAUGUCAAAGCCGAGCAUUACUAAUUGCCCGAACACUUUCUUUAU
rnacentral:rRNA from 1 species